rnacentral:rRNA from 1 species
GAACGUCGUGCGGGUUUUCGGACCUGCACGGAGUGACGGACGGGUGAGUAACACAUGGGUGACCUACCCCUUGGGUGAGGGAUACCGGCGAGAAAUCGCCGACAAGCCCGCAUAGGCUCGCUCUGGUGGAGCGGAGCGAGCAAAGUUUCUCUUGUGAAAGCGAGGGAGACGCCAGGGGAUGGGCCUGUGGCCGAUUAGCUAGUUGGUGGGGUAAGAGCCUACCAAGGCUGCGAUCGGUAGCUGGUCUGAGAGGACGAACAGCCACACUGGGAUUGAGAACGGCCCAGACUCCUACGGGGGGCAGCAGUGAGGAAUUUUCCGCAAUGGGCGAGGAGCCUGACGGAGCAACGCCGCGUGCAGGAGGACGCUUUUCGGAGUGUAAACUGCUUUUCUGUGGGACGAGGAUGGACGGUACCACAGGAAGAAGCCCCGGCUAACUACGUG